GAUGAACGCUAGCGGCAGGCUUAACACAUGCAAGUCGAGGGGUAUAGUUCUUCGGAAUUAGAGACCGGCGCACGGGUGCGUAACGCGUAUGCAAUCUACCUUUCACAGAGGGAUAGCCCCAGAGAAAUUUGGAUUAAUACCUCAUAGUAUAGCAGUUUCGCAUGAAACCACUAUUAAAGUCACAACGGUGAAAGAUGAGCAUGCGUCCCAUUAGCUAGUUGGUAAGGUAACGGCUUACCAAGGCAACGAUGGGUAGGGGUCCUGAGAGGGAGAUCCCCCACACUGGUACUGAGACACGGACCAGACACCUACGGGAGGCAGCAGUGAGGAAUAUUGGACAAUGGGCGCAAGCCUGAUCCAGCCAUGCCGCGUGCAGGAUGACGGUCCCUAUGGAUUUGAAACUGCUUUUANACUAGGGAAGAAACACUACUUCGUGAAGUAGCUUGACGGUACUGUAAGAAUUAA
rnacentral:rRNA from 1 species